GGUUCUUCGAUUUGUGGUUCUUCGAUGCCCUUCAACUUUAAACUUGUUCGGCUUUCUAACUAUUUUGAUAUGAGCGUCACUGAUGAGUCUUAUGUAGACUAAAUGCGCGUCUGGCGUAUUCAAUUUUAAGCCUGCAACCUUUUUUUAAUUAGAUAAAGUAUCAAAAUCAACAAUGUAUGCAAAUUGAAAUGGUGAUAACUGCAAAAAUGAAAAUCG
rnacentral:lncRNA from 1 species